UUGUUGGAGAGUUUGAUCCUGGCUCAGGACGAACGCUGGCGGCGUGCUUCACACAUGCAAGUCGAACGGAAAGGCUCCUUCGGGAGUACUCGAGUGGCGAACGGGUGAGUAACACGUGAGUAACCUGCCUCAGACUUUGGGAUAACUCGUGGAAACGCGGGCUAAUACCGGAUAUUCACAUUCCCACGCAUGUGGGGGUGUGGAAAGGGUUUCUGGUUUGAGAGGGGCUUGCGGCCUAUCAGUUUGUUGGUGGGGUGAUGGCCUACCAAGACGUUGACGGGUAACCGGCCUGAGAGGGCGGUCGGUCACAUUGGGACUGAGAUACGGCCCAGACUCCUACGGGAGGCAGCAGUGGGGAAUAUUGCACAAUGGGCGAAAGCCUGAUGCAGCGACGCCGCGUGAGGGAUGACGGCUUUCGGGUUGUAAACCUCUUUUAUUUCUGACGAAGGCACAGGUUUUCUUGUGUUGACGGUAGGUUAUGAAUAAGCUCCGGCUAACUACGUGCCAGCAGCCGCGGUAAGACGUAGGGGGCAAGCGUUGUCCGGAAUUAUUGGGCGUAAAGGGCUCGUAGGCGGCCUGUCGCGUCUGGCGUGAAAGGCCUCGGCUUAACCGGGGUUUUGCGUCGGAUACGGGCGGGCUUGAGGCAAGUAGGGGAGACUGGAAUUCCGCGUGUAGCGGUGGAAUGCGCAGAUAUGCGGAGGAAUACCGGUGGCGAAGGCGGGUCUCUGGGCUUGUACUGACGCUGAGGAGCGAAAGCAUGGGGAGCGAACAGGAUUAGAUACCCUGGUAGUCCAUGCUGUAAACGGUGGGCGCUAGGUGUGGGGCAGCAUUUGUUUGUUCUGUGCCGUAGCUAACGCAUUAAGCGCCCCGCCUGGGGAGUACGGCCGCAAGGCUAAAACUCAAAGGAAUUGACGGGGGCCCGCACAAGCGGCGGAGCAUGCGGAUUAAUUCGAUGCAACGCGAAGAACCUUACCUGGGUUUGACAUCACCCGGACUGCCCUAGAGAUAGGGUUUUCUUCGGACUGGGUGACAGGUGGUGCAUGGCUGUCGUCAGCUCGUGUCGUGAGAUGUUGGGUUAAGUCCCGCAACGAGCGCAACCCUUAUCCUGUAUUGCCAGCACGUUAUGGUGGGGACUUGCAGGAGACUGCCGGGGUUAACUCGGAGGAAGGUGGGGAUGAGGUCAAGUCAUCAUGCCCCUUAUGUCCAGGGCUUCACGCAUGCUACAAUGGACGGUACAGCGGGUUGCGAAGCCGUGAGGUGGAGCGAAUCUCUGUAAAGCCGUUCUCAGUUCGGAUCGAAGUCUGCAACUCGACUUCGUGAAGUUGGAGUCGCUAGUAAUCGCAGAUCAGCAACGCUGCGGUGAAUACGUUCUCGGGCCUUGUACACACCGCCCGUCACGUCACGAAAGUUGGCAACACCCGAAGCCCACGGCCCAACCAGAUUUAUCUGGGGGGAGUGGUCGAAGGUGGGGCUGGCAAUUGGGACGAAGUCGUAACAAGGUAGCCGUACCGGAAGGUGCGGCUGGAUCACCUCCUUU
rnacentral:rRNA from 1 species